AACAAAGACUUAAGGCCAAUCUCCUUAAAUUAACACUAACUUAUCCAAGAUUGCUGAGUCAUGUAUCAUCGAGCAGGAAAUAAGACCUAUACGCUGCUGGAAGCAAUGGAUCCAAAACAAUUUGGUUUGGUGCCCAAUUCAUGUACUACAUUUUCUUUAAUGUCGAUGUUACAUCGCUGGUUUGAAAACACGGAUGGUACUGGUUUGCGCGUCAGGGUUGCACUUCUGGAUUACAAAAAAGAGUUUGACUUAGUGGACCACAAUAUUUUAAUUGCCAAAGUUUUUAGCCUUGGAGUCAAACCGACAGUUGUAAAUUGGAUUGCUGACUUUCUACGUGGCAGAUCACAGCGUC